GGGUCCGUUGUGGACAAGGUGA
rnacentral:siRNA from 1 species